ACGAGUCCUAGCACUCAACACAAGCAUUGCUCUCCGGACAGUCCUAACAGGAGUAGAUGAAGGAAUCCUCAACGAAAUUUCAAAUAUACUUGCCGACGUGUUUUACGAACUCGAAAAGUGCAAUCGAGAGAAGGAGACCUACUACGAAGAACUUAUGUACAAAAUAGACGACAACAAACAACUAUCGACUCAAUAUAACCUCGAAAAAACCGCUCGAACCACCACCGACACUAAAUUGAUCGAAUUUGAGUACAAGUACAGCGAGGUUUGUUUGUCGCUGGAAGAGCAGAUAGUACUCUACAACGAACUGAAACAAUCUAUGGAAAAUAAACUAAAUUAUUAUAUUAAAAGAGAUCAAAUUUCAAACGAGAAUUAUUAUAAUUUAAAGCACGAAUUUGACAAGUUGUUGAAUGACCAUCACCGG